rnacentral:misc_RNA from 1 species
UUCUCUGCGACGUGCCCUCCCUCUGACCUACUCGUGGUCUUGAACGGUGCGUCCAUGAACAUCAUUGUUCGCCGCUGCCACUUCACCCAGCUCAUCACGUGCGCCGUCUUGCGACGCUGCUUCUUCCCUCUGUGAGAUGCAGAUAUCUGUUGCGUGGUGCCUAGACGCGCAUAUCACAUACCCUCCUCCCUUCCUCCGUGUGACCCCCGCACCCCUUGUUCCAUCAUAUCGGCCAGCACAGGGAAACUCACACCUACACCCCAUCUCGCAUAGAUUGCCCAUUGGCGACGCAUCACCGCAUCGCCGGUAAUUCGGUGACGCCCGCUUCUGUCUUGAUUGGUUAGGCGCUUUGCCAAUCUUUUUUUUUUUAGUAGGCCGUCUUUGACGUCGCGCAUGUCGCGAGUGCUUACGGUGCUGCUAACGUACGACGACCCGGAGUGCGGCGGCGCGGCGGAUGCGCUGGUGGAGCACCUGGAGCGUGAUGCGGUCGCUGUGGAGGGGCACUGCCAGCUCUCCGUGAAGCCGAUUCAGGUGCUGCAAAACGGUUCUCACCGCGAUGCCCUCUACGGCUCACUGCAAGACCUGUUUCAAAUGAAACCGCAAGACAUCUACGUCAUCGCGUUCCUCAAGGGAUCGCAGCCGGAGGAGUACCGCAAGGUGAAUGAGCUGUGCAACAGCGUGCGUCCCAAUCCCGUGAAGUGCCAGGUGCUGACACACUUGGCGAACUACAACGAUGUCGGCCUCAUCAUUCGUAAUUUGGUGCGUCUGGUGCUGGAUGAGAUGACAAAGGAGGAGGCGAGCCUCGGCAGCACUGAGCCGUCCAAGUAGGAGAGGGGUGCAUGCUUGUGUGUGUGUGUACGAAUGACGAAAGAAGAGGGAGUGUAUGAAGAGGAGGGGGGCGGUUAUGUGAGUGACGUUCAGCUGCUGCGCGCAGAAGAUGAGGCUCCCAUGUUCUUCUUCGCUCUCCUCCCCUUCCUUGGCUUCGUGGGCGCGAUUGCCCCCUCUGCUGCUUCUGAAUCGACUCAGCCUGCGAAUUCCACCCACCGAUUCGAUCCUCCUUCUGCAGGGCACCCUUGCGGAUUCACUGCAAGCAAUCCUGCUCCCGCUCCACUGCAGCACCUGAGGUGGUUCUGUGAGUUCGUGAAAGGGCCUUGCUAUACUGAAUGCUCGAGCACGGUGAGUGAGAACGGAGUCGGUGUCGUGGCCCACGUAGCGGCCGUGCACUCUUCGCCUCUGCUCUCAUUUCUUGACCCCAAGCCCCUUCUUGCCCUUUAG